UGCCUGGUGGCUCAGUCGGUAGAGCAGUCGCCCGAGGCGGCCGUCGCAGGUUCGAGUCCUGCCCAGGCCU
rnacentral:tRNA from 1 species